UUUAGAAACAAUGAUGUCGGGGUGUGUUAUUAUGAUCUAAAACGUAACCUUAGCGGGAUUCUACCGUGUAAGGAAUACAAAGCUGUAUUCUGACGGGGGUCCCUAAUGCGCAUGUGUGGCUUCAAUGCUUUUCUGUGGGGAUUUAACUGGCGCUGGAUUUCCUCAUGCAGAGCAUGAGGACGUCCAGCAUCUGUGAUGCGACCUAAAGUUGCCUAGCCAUCAGGAUGUGCCUCUAGUGGCUGUCUGUUUCUCUAAAACUGCAAUGAUUUACAUUGCAGGACUAAGUGGGACAGGGGCACUGCACCCUGACCACUUC